GCAAUGCCUAUGAUGGGUUUUAAAUAUACUUCAAGUAACUUCUAUGAAAACAAUGUCAUCUUCGGCAUUUU